UGCAAUUACUGUAACUCAUCCCUCAAAAUUUUACAUUAUUGUUCUGUACCGCCGUCCACUCGGCUCUUUCCUGGAUGAGCUGGUCACUCUCCUGAGCUCCCUCCCUGAGGAUGGCACUCCGGCUAUUCUACUGGGAGACUUCAAACUCCCACCAGAGACCUCCCAACUAUCCAGGGUUGCCUCACUCCUCCAGUCUUUUGCCCUAUCCCAGUCUUCUUCUCCCCCCACACACAAGGCUGGUAACCAACUAGACCUUGUAUUCACCAGAAGCUGCUCCAUUCCCCAACUCACGGUGACACCCCUCCAUGUCUCAGACCACUUCUUUCUUUCUUUCUCCCUCUCCUACUUUCUCCCCCACAAUUUACUCAACAGCUCCAGCACCAGUACACUCUUCACCCCCCUGCCCGUGGUUGACUGAGUCACUACACUCCAGCAGAACAUCACUGCGGGCUGCAGAGAGGAAGUGGAGGAAAUCCCGAUCCUCUGAUGACCUGACCGCAUAUCAUACCCUGCUGGCAACUUUCACAUCUGCCCUCACAUCAGCUAAAGCCUCAUUUUUCCAAUCUAAGAUCAGUUCAUGUGUCUCUAACCCAGGCAAACUAUUCUCCACCUUCUCUUCCCUCCUCAUGCCUCCUCCACCCCCAUUUCCCUCUUCCCUUUCCGCAGAUGACUUUCUGACUGCCUUUGAAGGAAAGGUGGCUACAAUCUGGAACUCCUUUGCCCAUCCAGUGAGCCCCCCAACCCCCCCGAGACAAACCCACGGCUACACUGACCUCCUUUGAGAUGCUGGUGGACUCCAAUGUACUACAGCUCAUCACUUCUCAUUGUGUAACCACCUGUCCACGUGACCCCAUCCCAUCUACAGUCCUCCAAUAAAUUUCCAGCGAGAUCCUUCCCUAUCUGUCCUCCAUCGUUAAUUCCUCUCUUGCCUCUGGUCAUGUUCCCUCUGAUUUUAAGAUAGCUCAUGUUACCCCACUCCUCAAGAAACUCACCUCAGACCCCUCUGAUGUAAUGAAUUAUCGACCCGUAUUGCUUCUACCUUUUCUGUCCAAAACCCUUGAGCGAGCAGUGCUUAAACAACUAACCUCUUUUCUCCAUCAGAACGACCUGCUAGACCCUCACCAGUCUGGCUUCCAAUCCGGGCACUCAACAGAGACUGCACUCCUGGCUGUGGCGGAGGCACUCGCCACUGCAAGAGCCUCACGUCUCUCCUCUGUCCUGAUCCUUCUUGUCCUGUCUGCAGCAUUCGACACGGUCAACCACAAAAUACUUCUCUCCACCUUGGCUGAGAUGGGCAUUGUUGAGACUGCCCUGUCUUGGUUCGCUUCCUAUCUUGCAGAUAGGUCCUACCAGGUCAUCUGGAUGGGGUCUGCCUCUUAUCCCUGUGUGUGUGCCUUAGCCCCAGAGUUAGGGUUAGCAUUAGGGUUAACUUCUGGAAGUUCACUGACGUUUUACCACUACGUUUGGCAAGAGCACUGAUGGAGGUAGAUUGUUUUAGUGGCUCAUACCUGUCCUCCAGUGGCAGUUCAGGUGGGGGGGUUAGUAGCGGUGGUCUCCUGCUUCUAUAGUUUUUCAGAUUCCCUUUUCGGCACUCCUCAGUCCAUAAAUCGCACGGAGUGGAGGCUUUAGGUCUCGCAUCAUUAUUGAGCCAAUAUCCCGAAAUGCUGUCUGAAAAUGGUUAUGUUUGGAGCAGUAUCAAGCAAGGUGUCUGCUGCUGCACUGACGUUUGUGUCCGGGCAAGAGAGAUUUUCGGCCGGUUUCAUGGGUGGUUCACUAGCUGGUAGCUUAGCCUCCAGGCUAAUAGGUAGCAUGGAGUCGAUAAACUCUUCAGUCUCUCUGAUCUCUAAGAGGGUUCUGACUCUUAGCUCCAGUUCGGCUAUCCUCUGAGCGAGCUUUUCGCAAUCGGUACAAGCCAUAGUCGCAACCCAGCGAUUAAAAGAAAUAGCGAUUAAAAAAGCGAGUAAAACUCUGUAGCGGUUUGCAAUGAAUCUCCUCCUCCUCCUCUCUUGGAAAAGCCCUCUUGUUGAUCCGGUUUAGUUUUCCUCCUCCUUACAAUACACCGGAGUAUGUAACGAGGACACCGGGCUCUCCAUGGAUCAUUGUCAGUACUGGCAGGCGUCGGAGGCAGGGGAGACACAGGAAGCAAAAGCGUGGAUGCCGGUCCGGCCUACUUCCUAGGCAAUCCGGCAAUCUGCAAAUUUGGCAAUCCGUAGAGUGCACAAGAGAAACACUUAAAAAGCUGAUAAAAUAAAAUGAAAAAAAAAAUUUAAAACAAAAUAAUGGAAACUGCGAAAGAAAGCAUAAAAUAGAUAUAAAAUAGAAAAAGCUGCGGGAGCUUCGGGAGCUCACUGAGACACGUCUACACGUGUCAACUCAGGUAAAAGUACCGAUAUCAAAAUUAUGUCAUUACAACAUAACAUAGCUCAGGAGGUAAGACCGAUUGUCUGGCAGUCGGAGGGUUGCCGGUUCAAACCCCGCCCUGGGCAUGUCGAAGUGUCCUUGAGCAAGACACCUAACCCCUAACCCCUAACUGCUCUGGCGAAUGAGAGGCAUCAAUUGUAAAGCGCUUUGGAUAAAAGCGCUAUAUAAAUGCAGUCCAUUUACCAUAUAAAUGCAGUCCAUUUACCAUUUAGGCCAAGUUACAAGAAACAAUAUUGGCUGUCUUAGCUAACACAAAUUAAACAUGCUGUAUUCCAAAGCAAUGCAGCUUCCCAAUGUUUUCUAAAUUGUUUCAAGUAACUUAACCCUGUGCAUGUACUGUGUUAGCCUUCAGUACAACUGACUAUAUCUCAUAGUAUUGAGCAUUAUGUGAAGUUCAUUUUUCACAUUUUUUAAAAAAUUGUAGCUACAACACACCGGUAUUGAAGGUGUGGCGAGAACUAUGCCGCUGGUUAAACCAAACACCACAACAAACCUACAUAAUGUGAAGCCAGAAAAAUAGCACCUUGGCAAUGAAACUCUAUUCUUUCCCAUGGAUAUUGGCUGAUUUGUAUGUAUUAUGAUGUGGACUGUGCGUGUGAGAGAGAGAGAGUGACUGUUGGACAGCCUAGCAUUGAUUUUUUUUUAGAUACCAGUACCAAAAUCGGAUAGAAUGAAUAUACUUUUAUUUCUUUUGAUUUCUUAACAUAAUGAAGAGGGUGUCAUUGUCACUGCUACUUGCACUAUCAAAUUAUAUUUCCCCUCAGGUAAAAGGCGCAACUUUUUUGUCUUUUGGUAUGAAAUUGGAACACUGGAUUGUGAAAUUUCCGCGGAACCCGGCCUGUGUGAUUCACAUGCAGAAGAUUUGUGUGCGGAUAUUCAGCAAAUCUGUGACACAUUUUUGGUUGCACCGGUGUGAAAUUUCUUUAAGGAUGGGAUGGGCAAAUUCACUGUUUCAUUAUAUCUGAAGGCUAUUUUUCUGCCCCAUCAUAGGAGUGAGUGCUGGGCCCCAGUAGCCCAAAUACCCCUUCACCCGCCUGCUGGCAGGAUGUAUUCUGAAAGAACCAAAGACAACAGGGGAGAUUAGGCUGCCUUUGUCAUGGCUCUGUGUUGAGCUUUAAAGAGCUGGCUCUGAUCCCAGUUAACAGACGUUUUCGCCCUGCAUUGGCAUGGUAAACAUAGCAGCUCUCCCUUUCUCCUUUCUCUCUCUUUUCCUUUCUAUAUUCACAGUAGCAGACCAUGUUUUGCAGACCAUUGUCAGAGUCUGUGUGAAGAUACAGAGUAAUGCAAAUGGAGUGGGUGACAAAACACACAGGUGUGGUCCACACAGAGGGAUCACAUUGAUUUCACCUGACAUUCCUUCAAAGGUGCAGAGGCAUUUCCUGUCCCAACAAUAACUACUAAUUCACCUUUUCUGUCUUCACAUUUUCAUAUCCUCUGAACCUUUCAAAGUCAUUCAGAUAUUCUGUUUUUGUUUUGCUAUCAAUGUCACAUUCAUAUACCAUAUAUUCACACACAGGCAUGCACGCAAUCGUCCAUAGAAUGGUUAUGAAUCAUUGUUAAAUCAUUAUUUAUACUUGACUAUUUGAUUCAAGAAUCAUUUUGUCUCAUUUCAAACAUUUUUUUUCAAGUCGAUGUAGUGGGAUUUUAUUUAAUGACUUUUUUUUUGUUGCCAAAAAUGCAAUCUUUGUAAAAUACCUGGAAUUGUUCACUUGAAUAGUAAACUACCUGCUCUGAAAAGGCACCUGUGCCCAAAUAACAAAUUGUCCAUGUCCAUCAUAUACUCCCUCCUUCAUGUAAUCUGACUUAAUGAUAAAGUGGUCACUGCAGACCCAUCACCCCCCUCCCACAGGUGUAGUGCCAUUUCAGAACAGCUUUCCAGCAGCACAGUAGUUGCGGUCUCAUCGGAGGCGCUUAAUGAAAAUGAAUAAGUUUUGUUCUGUCAUACUCAUUUGAUCAUCCCAGCGAAAAACAAAAGGACCCUUCUUUGGGUUCUCAGUUUCAUUCCUCACGAUUCAUCACUGAGCUCAUUAAAAGUCAGCAGUCUAGUAAUAGGAGUAGCCUAAGCAGUUGAGACAAACCAACGUGACGUCACAACCUAGCUUGUCCUAAAAUGGCUGGAGCCCAAUGCUAGUAGUGGGGAAAAAGUGAACAUUUUUUCUAGAAAAUACUGGUCAAUUUCAGAUUUGAAUGCAGGGACAUAUCUUAUCCAAGGUACAUUCCAUUACAUUUAUUUGGCAGACGCUUUUAUCCAAAGCGACGUAUAAAAAGUGCAUUUCAUGGUCAUAGACAACUACUAAACACAGGUUCAGUAAGGUAUAAUUCUACGGGUAAAAUGAGCGCCCCAUGCGGCACAUACAAGUAUUGCGAACAGUUUGGCAGGGUGUACAUCAUCAGUGCUAAAAGACCUGUACCACACCGUUGUAGUGUGCAGCGUUGCGUCAACUGUAAUGAUGAGCUGGUUGCUGAUAGUAGACACGCUCGUUACAUUAAGCAAGUCAAACCUGAACAGCCGAGUGAACGCUGUGUGUAUUACGAUUUUGAGUGCCGACAGGAUGAUGGUGUGCAUGUUGCUAAUUUUGUAUGUUGUAUCGAUUUUAACGGGGUGCGUUGGACAGCAGCGGGUGACGGUUGUGUGGAGGCCUUUUUCCGUCGGUUCCGCUCACCGAAAUACAAAGGGUACACAUUUAUUGCGCAAAUCGAAGGGUUAUGACAGCUACCUAAUUAUGCAACACUUGAUUAAACAAGGCAUCACACCACACAUUAUAUCUCAAGGCAGCAAACUGCUUUGUAUCACCGAUGAUGCAUUUGAGCAGCGUCACAUAGAUUCCCUCAGCUUCCUCACAAUGAAACUGAGCGCCAUGCCAUCGGAUUUAGGCUUUGAAAAUGCCAAAAAGGGCUACUUCCCACACUUCUGGAACACAGUCGCGAAUCAAAAUUAUACAGGACCGUACCCACCACCUUUAUACUAUGGUUACAAUACCAUGUCAGAAAAGGAGAGGUCUGAGUUUAUGCAAUGGUACGCAACCAUAUCUGGAAGGGUGUUUGACUUUCUCAAGGAGAUGUCUGAGUAUUGUAUUAAUGACGUGGUCAUUUUGCGGGAGGGGUGUCUGAGAUUUAGACGUGAGGUACUCGCACCGGUCUUGACCCUUUUCAGGGUGUUACAAUUGCUUCUGUAUGUAUGAAACAAUUCUGCACAAGUUUUUUGCCCAAAGACACACUGGCUAUCACCACCCCUGACAAUUACAUUCUCAAGCAAAAGUCUUUUUCAACACCGGCAAUUCAGUGGUUAGACAAUGUUUUUCAGUCAUCGUAACAAUGUUUUCAUACAACAUGCUUUGAAUCGGAGGGAGGUUAAAUUUGGACCAUACUUUUUAGACGGGUAUUCAGAGGUGGGCGGUGUACGUACAGCCUUUGAGUUCCUUGGUUGUCUGUUCCAUGGUUGUUGUCAGUGUUUUGAUGCAAACACCUUUAAUCCGCUCACAAAACAAGAUUUUGGCUCCUUGUAUCGAAAAUCUCAAGAAAAAAUAGAUAUUCUGUGUAACACCUACAAUCUGCAUGUAGUUGUUUUGUGGGAGCACGAAUGGGUAAGACUAAAAUGGGAGAGUCCUGAGGUACCGGCGUUGUUUUGAUUAUCCAGAACGUCUGGAACCCUGUGAUGCUCUGUUUGGCGAUAGAACUAAUGCUCUUCGGCUUAAAUAUAAGGUGCAGGAAGAUGAGCAGAUACAUUACUAUGAUUUUACCAGUCUCUACCCUUUUGUGAAUAAGACUAAAGUUUACCUUACAGAUCACCCAUCAUCUUCCGUGCCUUUGACCCAAUCGAAAACUAUUUUGGUUUGAUCACAGCCAAAAUAUACCCACCUAGGGAUCUUUACCUACCCAUGCUACCUUACAGGGUGUCUGGAAAAUUAAUGUUUCCCCUCUGCAGGUCCUGCGCCGUCUCUGAACAUCAAGACAAAUGUUUACAUUCUGCCGAGGAGUGUUCUCUCACCGGGGUCUGGUGUAGUAUCAAACUAGUUGAGAAGGGAUACCAGGUGGCCAAGAUUUUUGAAGUCUGGCAUUUCCCCCAGCGCCCUGAUUCUCUCUUUAUCGAGUACAUAAACACACAUUUGAAGGGUAAACAGGAAGCCACUGGGUGCCCUUCAUGGGUGUCUAAUGAUCUGGAUAAAGACAGAUACAUGCAGUUAUUUGGAAAAGGAGGGCAUACAUUUAGACCCCAGCAAAUUUGUGUCAAUAAAGCUAAAAGGCAAAUUUCUAAACUUUUCCUGAACAGCCUUUGAGGUAAAUUCGGUCAGAGAACAAACCAAGUCAACACAACCUUGAUCCGUGACCUGGAGCAGUUUCAGUUGUACAUGUUUUUCCAAAGAGUAUGACAUUUUUCAUUUAUUACAGAUGAUGUGGCCCUUGUGCAGUGGUGUUGUGCCAAGGGUUUCUCAAAUCCACCCAAAUACAGUAAUAUGUUUAUAGCUGCAUUCACCACCGCUUACGCCCAGCUUGAGCUUUACGACCUCAUGGACAAAUUGCCUGACAGGGUUCUGUAUCAUGACACAGAUUCUGUAAUCUUUGUGAGUCGGCCAGGUGACUGGAUACCUCCACUCGGAGACUAUUUUGGUGAGUUGACGAGUGAGCUGGACACCGGUGACCACUUUGUGGAAUUUGUUUCCGGGGGUCCGAGAACAUGCUUACAGAACACGGGGAAGUAAAACAUGCAUGAGGUGCCACCGACCGACUGGAUUGGCGGCCGCCGUCACCCUGGCAGAGGACCACCUGGCGCUCUACCCCCGCAGCCAGUCACAGCAGCAGCAGCAAGGUCGGGCAGAAACUGCUUCACGCAGGAGAGCCCCUCCUCCUUCCCUUCUUCCCCCCCUUCCUUCCCCCCUUCCCCGUGCCCAAACCCCCUCAUUUUCCCGCAAUUCUGUUUAUUCUGUUUCCCCAGCCCCAGGCUCAGUGGCGGCGGGGUUUGACCCACAGAGAGCUCCUCAGACACCCGGACCGAGGUGGGGCAGGUGGUUCAUGUUGUCGGCCGCCCACCUCCGCUCCCGACCCGGACGGAGCGUACUGUAUUCCGACCGAUGCGUAGGACAGAGGGCUGGGGGCUGUUUUGACCCAGCAGGUGGAGGGAGUCGACCGCCCCGUGCUGUACAUUAGCCGAAAACUGUUGCAACGGGAGGCGAAGUACAGCACGGUGGAGAAAGAGUGGCUCACCAUUCGGUGGGUGGUCGGGGCCCUCCGUUAUUACCUUCUGGGUCGCCCAUUCAUCCUCUGUUCGGACCAUGCCCCCCUCCAUGGUCCCCCCUCCACCGCAUGAAGGAUACCAACACCUGGAUCACUCGGUGGUAUCUGGCUUUACAGCCUUUUAACUUCCAGGUGGUCCAUAGACCGGAUGCAUGGAUGGUCGUGGCUGACUUCCGGGGGCGGGGGUUGGUCAUUGGCCGGAUGGCUCCCCGGCCUAAGUCGGGCGUUGGGGGUAUAUGGUGGGGUGGGCGUGGUUUGGGCGUCGGCUGCAGAGAGAUAGUGAGAGGAGCGGCUCUUGGAUCCUUCGUCACAACUGUCAGGUGGAGGUAAUCAGCGCCGAUAAUUGUUAAUUAUUUGAUUGCGCUGAUUGCCUCUGAUUGGUUUCAAUAGAGACCGGGAGUCUUCGGAAGCAGACUCCGGAGAGAUGAAAGAAGUGCACAGUGAAAUAAAGGAAAACCCUGUGUUACGUUGUUUACGAUCGAAAGCCGUGGGCUUUAAAUAAAAGAGCACGGAAGUGCUAAAAAAACCAAACGGUUGUCUCACGUGAGUCUGUUGGAAGGCAGGAGGGGUGGCACUCACUUGCCACAAGCUAUAAAAUCGGAGUGUUCACACGGGUAACGAUCAGCACACCCAGUGUGCACGCUAACGUUAGUAGCUAGGUUAGCUAAAUUGAUAAUGCACUGGGGUAUCAUUAUCAAUUUUGCUAGCUUUGCUAGCUUGCUGCUGACAUGUUCAGCCGAAUACAUCACUGCAUAACUACCCUUACAGUACGUAACUGAAACAGUACUUUCUUUAGCUGAUGAGCAAGCGAGCCCUUGCAAAGAAAAUGACCAAAUUGGAGAUAGUUCUCCUUUGCCAGUUCUGGAAUUGUGUGCAGCAGAGGUUUGAGACAAUAAGUGUCAUGUUGCAAGGGGUAGAUCUAGAUCUCGUGAAUGCAGUUAAGUUGAUUUCCUCAUUAAAAUAUUAUGUUGCAAUGCAGAGAGACCAGUUUGAUAGGUUUGGAACUGCAACACUUAGUAUAUCUCCUGCUGUGUCCAAGA